CAACCAGGAGCUGACUCACCAUCAGCUGCAUUCUCUAUCUCUAAUACCUUUGUGUCUGUUGCUGCUAUUGCUGGAAUCUUCGUCUCCAUGGUCUUAGCUUAGAACUAUGAGGGUCUAUAAAUAAAUUUUUAUAUUUCUUAUUUUUUUGAAUUCAUGGUUUAGUCGGAUGAAAAUUCUACUAAUUUUUUUUAUAGGUAGUAAAUUGUUAGAUUUUAUUUUUGUUGUUGAAUAAUUUAAUAUAUUGNNNNNNNNNNNNNNNNNNNUUAAACAACAAAAAAAAAAAAAACUAACAAUUUAUUGUCAAUAAAUUGAUGAUGACGAUUAGUGACGAUUCUUUGUUUAUGUGAUUCACUCGAUUAUGUUAUUACUAUAUAAUAAUA
rnacentral:lncRNA from 1 species